rnacentral:rRNA from 1 species
CAUGCNAGUCGAGCGGGGAAGGUAGCUUGCUACCUAACCUAGCGGCGGACGGGUGAGUAAUGCUUAGGAAUCUGCCUAUUAGUGGGGGACAACAUUCCGAAAGGAAUGCUAAUACCGCAUACGCCCUACGGGGGAAAGCAGGGGAUCUUCGGACCUUGCGCUAAUAGAUGAGCCUAAGUCAGAUUAGCUAGUUGGUGGGGUAAAGGCCUACCAAGGCGACGAUCUGUAGCGGGUCUGAGAGGAUGAUCCGCCACACUGGGACUGAGACACGGCCCAGACUCCUACGGGAGGCAGCAGUGGGGAAUAUUGGACAAUGGGCGAAAGCCUGAUCCAGCCAUGCCGCGUGUGUGAAGAAGGCCUUUUGGUUGUAAAGCACUUUAAGCGAGGAGGAGGCUACUUGGAUUAAUACUCUAGGAUAGUGGACGUUACUCGCAGAAUAAGCACCGGCUAACUCUGUGCCAGCAGCCGCGGUAAUACAGAGGGUGCGAGCGUUAAUCGGAUUUACUGGGCGUAAAGCGUGCGUAGGCGGCUUUUUAAGUCGGAUGUGAAAUCCCUGAGCUUAACUUAGGAAUUGCAUUCGAUACUGGGAAGCUAGAGUAUGGGAGAGGAUGGUAGAAUUCCAGGUGUAGCGGUGAAAUGCGUAGAGAUCUGGAGGAAUACCGAUGGCGAAAGCAGCCAUCUGGCCUAAUACUGACGCUGAGUACGAAAGCAUGGGAGCAAACAGGAUUAGAUACCCUGGUAGUCCAUGCCGUAAACGAUGUCUACUAGCCGUGGGGCCUUUGGGGCUUUAGUGCGCAGCUAACGCGAUAAGUAGACCGCCUGGGGAGUACGGUCGCAGACUAAANNUCAAAUGA